rnacentral:lncRNA from 1 species
UAGUAAACUAGAAACAGAAUUUUCUUGUGCUUCGAAAAUGUACUUCUCUGCAGUCUAGAAAUGCCCAUGUUCAGAAGUUAUCGUUAUCGCCUCACUGCCGUAGUGCCGUGAUUCUCAGCAAACAACGUGGUUGUAAUAUUCAAAUGCUUCCACUAUCCUAGCAAUAUUCAAACCGACGUGUCCGCAGGCGAAUUCCUUCCUGCUUAAAAUGUCUUGAUUGGUGCACAGCUUUGGAUUAUGUAUCCACCAAUGUGAAUAGAAAAAGAAUCUUGUGGUACCAAACUGGAAGUUUCCUGUGAUGUAUGUACCAGUGUACCUUGUUGCAGUCCUGCUUUCAUCCAAUUAGAACUCGGGAAUUGGGCUUUCUCCUAACGGGUACCAUCCAUUCUAUAAUUGGUCGGAAAUUGUAAUGGCAAGCAACACCAUUGGCUCGGGUAUCCAUUUUGGAAAUUGGUGUCCGUAAGGUGCGUCUCGUGUCAGAUGUUUUCCAAUUUAAUAAAGUUUCAGAUGGAUGAGAUCACCCGACUACUUCGUCUGAAAGUAUGUGACCGAAACUUAUGUAAGAUUCGAAUAUGGUAAUAAAUUUAUGUUGGAUAAUAAAUUUGGUUUGGGUAGAUAUUGCAUGUCUAAUGGCCUAUUAUCCUCAUUUAUUAUUUGACGUUGUUGAAAUAUCACUAAGUUUUAAACUGG